GAAGGUGAACAUGAGGAAGCAGAACACACGGGGAAGAAGAGCAUCAUGGCAUUCUGGGUCAGGAGCCGGUAGCCAAGGGAAAUCAAGACGGCAAAGGCGUGGUCAUCAGAAAGCAGAAAAGCUAGAGCAUCCAGACAGUCAAUAGUAUGAGCUAAGUGUGACUUCAUGGGGCAGAUCAGACUUCAGCCAAACUGGGGACAGAAGUACAGCCUUUGCAGUCCUGGUUUGGAAGCAGCUUGCUCCAGCCUCGGGUGCUUGUGUUUGCCUACUGUGUGAGAGCCGCCUCUGAGCAAACUGGCACUGCGUAUAGUGACAGUUGAAGAACUCUCUCUCUCUCAGAGGGAAGCACCAGAUAUACUGAGGGAGAUGGUAUUCAUGCUGAGCCUGAAAGAUAAAUAGGGAAUUUGGACAGCAGAAAAGAAGAUAACUGCUGUGAGGUUUAAGCAAACAGGUAAAAGCAGUUCCAGUAAAGGUGUUUAUGUUGAGCUCUAUCUUUGUGUUAAGAAGGGCAUAAUCUGUACCACUAGGUCCAGCUAAUGAGGAAAUAGUGACUAAGUCUAAUAUAUAUUUUGGAGUUAUGGCUACUGGAAGGUAUGGAUUAUCUCCAUAGAAAAACUUACAUAGACUCUUACAUAUAACUGCAAGGGGUUUGCAUACUCUCUGAAGGCCACAUUGGGAGCCCACGUUUAGAAUUACUUGUUUAGACUGUACGGUCCAAUUGGGGAAGCACCAGUUCUACCACGGUGACACUUCUGGCCAUACAAAGACAUGAGGGAGUGCCCCUCUUAAGAAGCACUGCCUAAAAAUACUAGUUUGCUUUCCUGGGGCAGGAAUCAGGCCCCAUACCUCCCUGGUGCUAUUACACUCAGAUGGUGGUAGGGGGAUUCCAUGGAAUAAGAAAAUGUUAUUCAUGAGAAAUAAGUUGGACUAGAGUUUGGCGCAGAGCUCUUUACACCCCAUUUACUGACUUCUUUGUGAGACUUCUUCUUUCUGGGAGGAAGUUGAUGAGUUUAUGCCAGAUAGGUAGGGUAGGUAGCAACCAGGAUGUAGUUAUGUUUCUGAUAGUUCUUAGUCUUGUGUGUUUUGAUCUCUUGAUUAAAAUUCCCCAGAGUUACUCAGAAUCUCUAAAAAUAUUCUAUGACACAGCGACAUGCUGAUCAGUUUUGCUACUUUUUCAUGAAGUAGGAUUGUUACCAAAGAGAAAACUGCAAGGGAUGUGCUGCCCAAUCAGAGGAGGCUUCUUCAUCCUUCAACUCCAUGAUGAACUCUUAUAUGAAGUGGCAGAAGAAGAUGUUGUUCAGGUAGCUCAGAUUGUCAAGAAUGAAAUGGAAAGAGCUGUAAAACUGUCUGUAAAAUUGAAAGUGAAAGUGAAAAUAGGUGCCAGCUGGGGAGAGCUGAAGGACUUUGAUAUGUAACUGUGCUGUUGAUGAAGUCCUCCCAGGGAAGCCUGUGCAGAUAUAGUCACCUGGAAAGAACAGAGAUAACCCUUUCACCUACCUCAGGAAAAUGAACUUUCAAGUCUUCAUAGACUUAGCCUAGUAAUUUUAUAGUGAGAGUUUCAAACUAUGUAUCAGGGUCCGUUCUUUGUAGCAUCAAAAACUUUUGGGGAUAGGGAAAGUGAAAUACCAAGUAUAAUAGUUACACUCACUUUCAAAGAGCAUCUAUGAAUUUUCCUUUUGUAAUUUACUGUGGCUUUAAACAUAUUCAGGACAGAUGUUUGAAAUAUGCACUUGGCACUUUGGCUCCACGUAUGUCUGGGUAAACCAUGAAGAAAAUGAAACUGCUGCCUCUGCUGACCCUGACAGGAGCCAUAGGUGGAUAAAGAUUUGGUUUCACCCUGGUGGUGUCAGGCAUUGUGUGUGACUUCUUUUCCCUCUAAUAUCACUUUUAGAGUAUUGAAAUAGUAUUUCACAAUAGUAUUGGCUAAUAAAUUAUGAAUUCUAUAAAGUGGUAAGGCUUGGUAUGGCUGGAGUCUAGGAAUGAAUAUGCAUGAAAUGUUUCUUAUUGCUUUUCCUUCCCUAAUUCAUACAAUGAAUGUAUUUGGAAUACUUACAUAUCAUAAAAUAAACUAAACCUCUUCAAGAGGUAUCCUGUUCUGUAAGAUCAGAUGUUUUUGUUGCAGGUAAAUAUAAUACUGCCAGAGAUGGAAAAUACUCCCUUAUCAGUCCCUUAGUGCCUCUUUCUAUUUGUGGCAUGGUGAGAAAAACCCAUGCUGAAAAGAUUAUACUUUGUAAUCUCAAUCAGAGGUAUGGAGCUGAUCUUCUUGCUGUUGAAAUAAAAUGAAUUCAUGAGAAACUUUAUAUCAA